GUCUUUAUGAAAAAUUUAUAAAGUCUGGCCUGCCCACUGAUUUUUUAAAGGGCCGCGGUAUUUUGACCGUGCAAAGGUAGCAUAAUCAUUAGUCUUUUAAUUGGAGGCUCGUAUGAAUGGUUGGACAAAAAAUAAGCUGUCUUCAGCCAAAUUUAUUGAAUUUAACUUUUAAGUAAAAAGGCUUAAAUAAUUUAAAGUGACGAUAAGACCCUAUAAAACUUGAUAAAUAAAAUUAAAAAUAAAUAUUAGUUAAUUAAAUUUUUUUUUGUGAAGUUUAUUUUAUUGGGGCGAUAAAAAUAUAAAUAGUAACUGUUUUUAAUAUUUUAAUGAUAAUAGUCAAAAAUUAAAUGAUCCUUUAAUAAAGAUUAUAAGAUUAAGUUACUUUAGGGAUAACAGCGUGAUUUUCUUUGAGAGUUCAUAUCUACAAGAAAGAUUACGACCUCGAUGUUGAAUUAAAAAUUCUUUAAGGUGUAGCAGCUUUAAAAGAGGGUCUGUUCGACCUUUAAAAUUUU
rnacentral:rRNA from 1 species